rnacentral:tRNA from 1 species
CCCGAGGUGGUGAAAUUGGUAGACGCGGCGGACUCAAAAUCCGCUGUCAGAGAUGACGUGUCGGUUCGAGUCGACCCUCGGGACCA